GAGUUUGAUCGUGGCUCAGAUUGAACGCUGGCGGCAUGCCUACACAUGCAAGUCGAACGGCAGCAUGAUCUAGCUUGCUAGAUUGAUGGCGAGUGGCGAACGGGUGAGUAAUACAUCGGAACGUGCCCUGUAGUGGGGGAUAACUAGUCGAAAGAUUAGCUAAUACCGCAUACGACCUGAGGGUGAAAGUGGGGGACCGCAAGGCCUCAUGCUAUAGGAGCGGCCGAUGUCUGAUUAGCUAGUUGGUGGGGUAAAGGCCCACCAAGGCGACGAUCAGUAGCUGGUCUGAGAGGACGAUCAGCCACACUGGGACUGAGACACGGCCCAGACUCCUACGGGAGGCAGCAGUGGGGAAUUUUGGACAAUGGGCGAAAGCCUGAUCCAGCAAUGCCGCGUGUGUGAAGAAGGCCUCGGUUGUAAGUACGACUUU
rnacentral:rRNA from 1 species